rfam:Schistosoma rodhaini strain Burundi genome assembly, scaffold: SROB_scaffold0000516
ACCCGGCUGACGAGUGCCAAAUAGGAUGAAACGGGCGUCCUGGAU